GAUGAACGCUAGCGGCAGGCUUAACACAUGCAAGUCGUGGGGCAGCGCGAGGUAGCAAUACUUUGGCGGCGACCGGCAAACGGGUGCGGAACACGUACGCAACCUUCCUCAAAGCGGGGAAUAGCCUCUCGAAAGAGAGAUUAAUACCCCAUAGUAUCUCGGAUUCACAUGGAUUUGAGAUUAAAGCUCCGGCACUUUGAGAUGGGCGUGCGGCUGAUUAGGUAGUUGGUAGGGUAACGGCCUACCAAGCCAACGAUCAGUAGCUGAUGUGAGAGCAUGAUCAGCCACACGGGCACUGAGACACGGGCCCGACUCCUACGGGAGGCAGCAGUGAGGAAUAUUGGUCAAUGGAGGCAACUCUGAACCAGCCAUGCCGCGUGAAGGAUGAAGGUCCUCUGGAUUGUAAACUUCUUUUAUAGAAGAAGAAACCCCAUUUUUCUAAAUGGGUUGACGGUACUCUAUGAAUAAGCACCGGCUAACUCCGUGCC
rnacentral:rRNA from 1 species